rnacentral:lncRNA from 1 species
UUACACAUCCCAUGUACUGAAUAAGAAAGGGAUAAAGAGUCGGCUUACAAUCGCCACUUCACACAAUACAUAAAUAUAUCAUACAUCAUCCAGAAUACAAUCAAGGUCCGACUACGGAACCAAAAUAAAAGAAGACAGCCCCAAAUGCAAGAUCCCCAAUCGUCCCAACUGGGGUCCACUACUGAUCAACUGAAAACGAAACCACACAACGAACACGAUCUUCAUCGAGCUCCCACUUGAGCUCAGUUGCGUCAUCUGCACUAGUAUCAUCGGCACCUGCAAGUGUUUGGAAGUAUCUGUGAGCCACGAGGACUUAGAAAAUCUCACACCCACGAGAUCAAGACUAUUUAAGCUUAUGGGUAGGGUAAGGUAAUGAGGUGGAGCUACAGCAAGCACUAAGCAUAUAUGGUGGUUAACAUACGCAAAUAAGAGGGAGAAGAGAAGCAACGCAACGGUCGUGAAACUAGAAGUGAUCAAGAAGUGAUCCUGAAACUACUUACGUUCAAGCAUAACACAAGACCGUGUUCACUUCCCGGACUGCGCGAAAGAGACCAUCACGGCUACACACGCGGUUGAUACAUUUUAAUUAAAUUAAGUGUCAAGUUCUCUACAACCGGACAUUAACAAAUUCCCAUCUGCCCAUAACCACGGGCACGGCUUUCGAAAGUUCAAAACCCUGCAGGGGUGUCCCAACCUAGCCCAUCACAAGCUCUCACGGUCAAUGAAGGAUAUUCCUUCUCCCAAGAAGACCCGAUCAGUCUCGGAAUCCUGGUUACAAGAAAUUUCAACAAUGGUAAACCAAGACCAGCAAAGCCGCCAGAUGUGCCGACAAUCCCGAUAGGAGCUACACAUAUCUCAUUCUCAGGGCAACACCGGAUGAGACAUCCUAUGAGUAAAAUCAAACCUCAAGUUUCCCCGAGGUGGCCCCGCAGUCUACUCAGUUUGGACCAACACUUAGAGAAGCACUGGCCCGGGGGGGUUAAAAUAAAGAUGACCCUCGGGUUAGCCGACCCAAGGGAAGGGUAAAAAGUUGUUAGGAAAAUGUAAAACCAAGGUUGGGCCUUGCAGGAGGAGUUUUAUUCAAACCGAACUGUCAAUGGGUUCCCAUAACACCCAACCGCGUAAGGGACGCAAAAUCAAGGAACAUAACACCAGUAUGACGGAAACUAGGGCGGCAAGAGUGGAACAAAACACCAGGCAUAAGGCCGAGCCUUCCACCCUUUACCAAGUAUAUAGAUGCAUUAAUUAAAUAAGAGAUAUUGUGAUAUCCCAACGUAUUCAUGUUCCAACAUGGAACAAACUUCAUCUUCACUUGCAACUAGCAACGCUAUAAGAGGGGCUGAGCAAAAGCUGUAACAUAGCCAAGCAACGGUUUGCUAGGAUGGUUGACAAAGGUUAGAGGCUAUCAUGGCAAUUUGUGAGGCUUGAUAUAACAUGUGGUAGGUAGCGCGACAUAGCAAUAGAACGAACACUAGCAAGCAAAGAUAGAAGUGAUUUUGAGAGUAUGGUCAUCUUGCCUGAGAUCCCGCAAGGAAGAAGAAUGAGUCCAUGAAGCAGACAAACGGACAUAGUCGAACGGAUCCUCAGAACUCCGGAACGAAACCGAAGCUAACGGGAGAAGCAACCCAGAAAGAAGCAAACAACAUAUUAAACAACCAUCACAUAAACAUGGCAUGAUGCACAACCAAGUAUGAUGCGUGUCCGGUUUAAAGAGGCAUGACAUGGCAAUGUGCACAAACAAUCCUACAAAUUAAGUGGGGCUCAAUAUGCAACUCCGUUGCAUAUUGACGAAACACCACGUCAAUUAUUUAGUUCGAUCUCGUUUAUGUACCCAACACUAUUAAAUGUUGAUUAACAUGGCAAGAGGUGAAGCAUGAAGAAACUAUCUAUUUAGGCAAGUUUAAAUGAGGCCAGAACAACAAGCAACAAGUCCGGAAAAUCCCCAGAUGCAUAUAUUAGAUUUGGUACAGUUAUGUCCUAAAGCAUAUUUUAGAGUUAUUAAACAUGCAAGGUGAGAGCACCAUGUUAAACUAGGCAUUUUUCUACCCCAUUUUCAUAUAAAGUUUAUUAAAUUUGGAGCUACGGUUAUUAAGUUAUGAAUUAAAUCAUUUUAACAUGGCAAUUAAGCAAAUAAAUGCAAACUGCAGUUUAAACAUUUUAAACAUGGUGGAAAGUUGGAUAUUAUGAAACUAGACACAAUUCUAAGCAUUUUUCAUAUAUAAAGUAUUUUAAACCGAGGCAUAGUUAAAGAGGUAUUAUAUGCAUGAAGUACAAGGGUGGUUCUGUAAAUCUGCAGUAAACUGGAAAAAUAGGCAAAUUCGUUCUAUGGAAAAAACAUGAAACGGGUCGGUUCUGUCUAGCCCAACAGAGCACAGUGGGGGGCUGGGCGGGUGCUCACAUCGGGCCAGAUCUGGUCGAAACUGGAACUGGGCCAGAAAGGAGACCACGGUUGGGCCUUAGCGUCGAAGUGGCCCGGAGCAUGGUUACGGUCAACGCGUGCC